rnacentral:rRNA from 1 species
GAUGAACGCUGGCGGCGUGCCUAAUACAUGCAAGUCGAGCGAACGGACGAGAAGCUUGCUUCUCUGAUGUUAGCGGCGGACGGGUGAGUAACACGUGGAUAACCUACCUAUAAGACUGGGAUAACUUCGGGAAACCGGAGCUAAUACCGGAUAAUAUUUUGAACCGCAUGGUUCAAAAGUGAAAGACGGUCUUGCUGUCACUUAUAGAUGGAUCCGCGCUGCAUUAGCUAGUUGGUAAGGUAACGGCUUACCAAGGCAACGAUGCAUAGCCGACCUGAGAGGGGGGUCGGCCACACUGGAACUGAGACACGGUCCAGAGUACGACGGGAGGAAGCAGUAGGGAAGCUUCAGCAAUGGGCGAAAGCCUGACGGAGCAAUGCUGCGGGAGUGAGGAAGGUCUUAGGAGCGUAAAACUCUGUUAUGAGGGAAGAACAAAUGUGUAAGGAAAGAUGCAUGUCGGGACGGGAAAUAAUCAGAAAGAAAAGGCGAAAGACGUG